rnacentral:piRNA from 1 species
CACGUUGGGAGAUAAGAGAGAGC